UCAAUGCUUCACCUGAGGGACAUUAGGGUAAUUUCAUUGCCUUAUUGUUGCUGGCUUGUUCGUACUAAUAUGCGUGUCUUCACUGUAUAUCAACAGCUGCUUCAACAUUCAUUCUCUCCGUUGUUCUUUUCCUUUAGCAAGCAUAUCGACAUUUUCUCAAGAAUUACUUUUCAGUUCAGUAUGCCUGCGCAUUAAAAGACCAUCUCUACAGCUUUUCUUCGCAGAAAAAAGGCCAACAAUACUCAACAGAGAAAUCUUGCGCUAUAAAAAAGAAGACGGCGUUACCUAUACAGACAACUACCACCUGAAAAAAGAAAGGCUCUUCUGUUGCACCAACGAACAAGACGCCUAUAAUCCAACAACCAGAAUUUUCAGACUGAUUCUCCUAUUCCACUACCUAAUGCUCAACCUCAAUUAACUGAACAGAGAGGUGUGGCCAUCAAUGAGAUAUCUCCUCACGGCGAAACAGCUUCGAAGUACCAGGCAAAGGAAAGUAAAUAGUUGGCUGCUUCUCGACUUUUGAAAUAGCUACACGCACUGAGCCCGAGGACCUUGAGGCAACAAUUACUAUUACUGAGAUAUCACGUCAGGCUGAAACAGACAACACCUCUCGAGUUAUGCCAAUCAAAGCAAACAAUUUUGCUGGCUGCUUUUCAACUUUCCAAGUAGGCUCAACGUCAACUACAACCACUAAACAACAUAACCUGAGGCAACAAUUACUGGUUUCAUAGAUGCACUACUGCCUCCCCAUAAGCGGCGUGUUUCACGAGGAAAACUCAAUAAAAACAAAGAUACCACAGACAUUCUAGAGCUUCCAGGUUAUGUGCAUGCAGGAAAGACAUGCCCUAUUUAUUCUUCUGCCCUUCCCAUGGUCUUGGUCAUAGCGAUGCCACUAAAACCGAGGACUUCAUUAUUGGAUUGCUCUGUCAUGGUAAAAAUAUUCAUUGUAUUAUUGCGAAAAGUGAAACUUCGAUUAAAAGGUGCUCAUAUCAAGGUUUGUGAUGCCACAGCUGAUUGUGAUGAGUGCAUUGUCACAAUCUCUUCCACAGUUCUGCUGCAACAGAGAAGUCCUUCUUCAUCAGCUGACACUGUUAAGGCAAAAAACAUUCACCAACAUGCAAUCACAUACGGUUAGCACUCUGAUUUGCUCCUCGGAGAUGCACUAACUCACAUGUAUGACAAGUGUAAAUACGUGGAAGAUCCAAGAGAGGUUUUUAAUAUAUUGGACAUCGAUGAAUUCGUGUUAUGUUAACUAUAAACUUCCAAGAGAGGUGCAAACAACUUCCCGUGAAAUGGGGUAGUUCUCUUGUUUUUGGUCAUCUUGGUUACGUUUUUGUGGAAGAAACAUUCAAGCUUUAUUGAUUUUGAUUGUGUGGAAGUAAGCUUUUGUGGAAGAAAGAUUUAAUUUGUAUAGAUUUUAAAUUUAGCGAUAGAGAAACAAGAGGAAAUGGUUUGUGAUGCCAAGGCUGAUUUCGAUCAAUGCAUUAUCACAGUCACCUCCGCUAAGGUACUACUUCCCCUCAAGGAUUCUUGACUUUAUAUGACAAUAAUUUCAUCUCCACUCUCUUGUAUUCUGCAUAUUAACCAUAUUCAGUAUUUGUUUUUAUGUAAUAACUCGAUGAUCUUAAGUCCAUGAUAGUUGAAGCUGUACUUCUGGUCCAACAGAGAAAUUCUUCCUCAUCAACUGCCACUGUUACGGCAAAAGGCUUGAGGUUUUUGAUAAUUUAGUGUUAAACAUGUAAUCUUUUAUGUUUUUGUGGAAAAAAACUCAAAUCUUUAUUC